UGGAACAUAGCUUAGUUGGUAAAGCCUCCGACCGAUAAUCGGAAGACCCUUGGUUCGAGUCCAAGUGUUCCAACCA
rnacentral:tRNA from 1 species